GAAAAAUUAUAAGUUCAGGUGUAGGAAAUGAAUUUCCAGGAGGGAAAUAACAAGAUGCUAUGGAGAUAGGAACCGAGUUUAUUGUUUGAUACGACUGUUUCCCAGAUAUCAGUAUUAGAAUUGGUUGUCGAAGUAUUGUUUGAAGUAUCAUUUUCUUUAUUUCUUUUUUUGAUAAUUUUAAAGGUGGAAUUGUUUUGUUAGAUAAUUGAUUUGGGCUCGAAGCCAUAUUGAAUGCGAGUAUUUCUGUAGCAGUAUGUAGAGACUGUGAUAGUGGAUGACCUUGAGGCCUUUACGAGGCGGCGGCGUUAGUGGACUUUAUACGAUAAGACUAUUAUAUUAUUAUACAUUACUGGUUUGCGGUGGCACUGCAUAAUUUGAUGUUAAUGCUAGUUAGAGCUAUACAAAAUGGUGCG